AUAUAGGUUUUCUUUUAAAAUUCAUUUUUAUAUAAUAAAAUUAAUUAUUUCAGUAGGGAGUUAGGAGACUUAAAAUUUAAAUCUGUCAAACAGUUACAUAUUUAGUUACUAAAUCAAGCUGGACUAGCUAGGUUUAUAAAAUUAAUUUUUAUCUAUAUAUCUAUAUUUUUUGAAUUUAAACAUAUAUUAUGUUCUUAUUUAUGAUUUUACAUAUAAAACACUUUUUUUUAAACCAUGAAAUAUAUUUUAUUUACAUCCAAAUGGAUGUACUCAAUAAUAAAUAAAUAUAACUAUGGGUAAAACUAUAUUCUCGCUGCAUAUUUUGAUGGAUUUUUUAGAUAACAGCCUAAGAUCAGGUAUAAUAUUUGACCAUUGAAAAUCGCCGAUUGUACAGGCGUACGUAGAGCUACUAACAUCAGAGUUUACAUGGUUACCUCUGCGCAUUUUCAUAGAUAUGAGAAUCCUACUUUUACCGAUUCUUCCGUAAAAUGAAGAAAGGAUCAUCUAUUGUCACCCCACCGCUUUUGUCGAUAACAACGGUCACGACCUUAGAAUUGCAUGCUUCCCACACUUCUUAGCUCAUAACGCCACUUCCUCAGUUCCUCUCGUAACUUCACUCUCUUCUACAUUGCUCUGCCCUUCAAUUACUCUUUCUUUAGAUCGAGAUCUCUCUCUUCCAUUUUCGCUUCAUCUGCUACAAACAAUGGCCAAGGUUAAGAUCGGUAUCAAUGGAUUUGGAAGGAUCGGUCGUCUGGUUGCUAGAGUCGCAUUGCAGAGAGACGACGUUGAGCUCGUCGCUGUUAACGAUCCUUUCAUCACCACCGAUUACAUGACUUACAUGUUCAAAUACGACACCGUUCACGGACAGUGGAAGCACCGUGAUAUUAAAGUUAAAGAUGAGAAGACUCUUCUUUUUGGUGACAAGGCUGUCACUGUUUUUGGCGUCCGAAACCCAGAGGAAAUUCCGUGGGGACAGACUGGUGCUGAAUACGUGGUUGAGUCCACCGGAGUUUUCACUGACAUGGACAAAGCAGCUGCUCACUUGAAGGGGGGUGCAAAGAAAGUAAUUAUUUCUGCGCCUAGCAAGGAUGCUCCAAUGUUUGUUGUGGGUGUUAAUGAGAAGGACUACAAGCCUGACCUUAACAUUGUCUCCAAUGCUAGCUGCACUACCAAUUGUCUUGCUCCUUUGGCUAAGGUUAUUAAUGACAAAUUUGGUAUUGUUGAGGGUCUUAUGACCACUGUCCACUCCAUUACCGCCACACAAAAGACUGUUGACGGACCAUCAAUGAAGGAUUGGAGAGGUGGUAGAGCUGCUUCCUUCAAUAUCAUUCCUAGCAGUACUGGAGCUGCUAAGGCUGUAGGGAAGGUUCUGCCUGCACUGAAUGGAAAAUUGACUGGAAUGGCUUUCCGUGUUCCCACUGUUGAUGUCUCGGUGGUUGACCUCACUGUAAGACUUGAAAAGAAGGCAACUUAUGAAGAGAUAAAAGCAGCUAUCAAGGCAGAAUCUGAGGGAAAUCUGAAAGGAAUCCUUGGUUACACUGAAGAUGAUGUUGUCUCAAGUGACUUUGUGGGUGACUGCAGGUGAGAAGUGUUGUCUUGACAUGUAUGAGAUGGUUUCCUUUUGGGGUACAAAAACUGAUUUCCCAAUGAAUGCAUAGCUUGAGAUCUCUCUCGCCAAUAUGUUUCUCCAUUAUGUGAAGUCAAGCAUUUUUGACGCCAAGGCUGGAAUUGCAUUGAAUGAUAACUUUGUGAAACUUGUCUCUUGGUAUGACAACGAAUGGGGUUACAGGUAAUUAAUUUGCAAUUUGCAUUCCAAAGUACUUUGAAGAUGUUUCUCAAUGAAAGAUUUGUUGCUUCAUUUUGAAUGAACAUUCGCUGUUGGCUGCCAGCUCAAGAGUGAUCGACUUGAUCCGCCACAUAGCCUCCACCCAGUAAGCAGCUCUAAUAGCAUGAAGCGGGACUUCCUCCUUUCCGGCUUAGGAUGCAGUUUUCCAGAAGAGUUAUUUUAGGAAUAAUUAAGCUUUGAAGAACAUUUUAUGCAUCAUGUGGUUUUGAUAUGAAUUUUGCCGCAUUUGUACUUUGUAUUGGGAAGUUAACACAAGGCAAUCGUUGCCUAAACCUGGUUUGGUGGAUUUAAGACAUAAAUAAAUGGGUUUCAUUUAAUUUUCA